GUCUGACAUCAACAGCAUACUCACGUUACUCCAGGACUGGAGAGUCACUACGAGCUGUGUGUGGAAGCUAGGCUAACAAGUUGAGCAAACUUAGCGCCCUUGGAAGUGGAAGGAGGUAAAAGUGCCUCCGACCUAUUUCCAAGCAACUAAAAGGAGGAUUUUAAUGGCAGCUGUAGAAGAAAAGGUUGCAUUCCAUUGGACCAAAAGCACCGCAGGUAUUUACUUGACACAGGGUCGUCGUACGGCCAGAUGCGGAGCUUCUAAUUUUGGGAUCAGGUCCUAAUGAGAGGACCAGAAAACAACCUGCUGGUGAGAAUGGACCACAAAGGCCAGCUUAGAGGACCUGUGAUGUCACAGAAAAAACAUAUAUAAAAAUAACGCCUCUGCUGUGUCUUUUUUGUCCCUUUUCUGUCAACCCUGGCGC